rnacentral:rRNA from 1 species
CCUACGGGAGGCAGCAGUGGGGAAUAUUGCGCAAUGGGCGAAAGCCUGACGCAGCGACGCCGCGUGAGGGAUGAAGGUCUUCGGAUCGUAAACCUCUGUCAGCAGGGAAGAACGGUCACUGUGCUAAUCAGCAGUGAAUUGACGGGACCUGCAAAGGAAGCACCGGCUAACACCGUGCCAGAAGCCGCGGUAAUACGGAGGGUGCGAGCGUUAAGCGGAAUUACUGGGCGUAAAGCGCUCGUAGGCGGUAUGUCAAGUCAAGGGUGAAAGCCCCGCGCUCAACGUGGGAACUGCCUUUGAAACUGGCAAACUGUAGUGUGUGAUAGGAUAGUGGAAUUCCAGGUGUAGGAGUGAAAUCCGUAGAUAUCUGGAGGAACAUCAGUGGCGAAGGCGACUAUCUGGCACAUAACUGACGCUGAGGAGCGAAAGCGUGGGUAGCAAACAGGAUUAGAUACCCGAGUAGUC